rnacentral:lncRNA from 1 species
UUUUAUGCCUUGGGGAAGGGCUGGAACCUUUUCAGCCCCAAAAUCCAAGAACAAAAAUCAUAUUUUCCUUGUAUUUUCAAUUUUAGUUAGGUUCUCAAUUUUAGCUCAAAAAAUUCCACAAAAAUUUGCUUGUCCUUUCAUUUUUAGCUUUCAAAAUUAGAUCCAACAUUCAAAUACACCAAAAAAUACAAAAAAAAAUGCAUACAGAAAUAGAAAACAACAAAAAAAUGUUCACUGCUCAUUGGUUGUAAGUAGCUUCUGGUUUUUUUUUUCCUUGGGUGUUCUUUCUUAUAGCUUGAUUUGAAAUUUUGGUUGAGUUGGUUUGGGGUUUAUUCCUGCUGGAUUGUGGUCUUUUCUGUUGGAUUUUUAAGUUUUCCGGGUUCAUAGAUUGCAUUCAUGGGUUUCUUGUUGCUGCUUGGUUCACUGAGCAUUUUGCUGCAUUAAGCUGCUGCUGACUACUUUCCAUCUUCUCAAUUGAAUCAUACUUCAGGUACACGCCUUGAGAUCAGUCUGAUGUAAAUUUUUAAAUGGAAAUGCAGUGGCAGCUUGAUACUUGUUUGGGCCUUCACUGCUCUAUGUUGUUCAAUUAAAUUGUAGUUAGUUUUAGGAUGCAUUUUCUGAUGAAAUCGCUGCUUUAGUUCUGAUGGUAAUGAAUUGGUCGAACUGUUAAUAUGUCAGGGACUACCUAAAUCUUUAAUUCGUAUAAGACUGAACAUUGAUUUUGAGCUAGCAGAACUGUAAUAAUUUGAACUAUGUCAUUAGGACUACUUUAAUGACUUUGGAUUGUUUUAACUGUCAUUUGUAUUUGCUUAAACUUUGUUAGCUGGAAAUUGCUUAGAGGUUUGGUAAGUAGGAGUGAUUUGGGACUUAAGUAGAAUUUUAAUUGCUUUUCUUUCAGAAAAAAAUAAGAAGAAGAGAAAACUAGCAAUAGUAAAAUCGUAGCCUUCUUAGAAUUAUCUUUAAAAUUAAUAAAGAGAUGAGCCUCGCCCAAGCAAAAACAAAUGCGGGGCCCUUGAUAAGAAUUAUAGAAUUAAUUUAGAAUAUGGGAGGGCCAUUUAGCGAAUUUCAUGGCCUUACCCAAAUUAAUAAUACGCUAGAAUCUUUAGACGCGUUU